CAUGUUUUCCAUUUAACUUCUAUACAAGAUUCUGGCCAUGCGCCAUCCCCGGAAGCUCGUCCUUGCUGGCUGUCUAUCGGCAUUAACAGUGAUGACGGCGUUAUCUGCUUCUCUCGGCUGGGUUGCACCUAAUCUGAUAUCACGUAAAUGGAGAU